UGAAAUUACAAGCAACAAUGUAUACCUGUUUUAAGGAAACUGCAAAGCAUGCAGAUGAGGUGAUUGCUUCCUGAAAUUUUUUUCCUCUACUCUCUGUGGUCCUGGGCAUUCUUUUGGAAUCAACUCUCAACAGCAUGCAGCAUUUCCUACAAACUUCACUGUCACUUCCCCUACCCCUUCAUAUCGUAAAUCACUCUUGUGGUAGACUGAAGACUUAAGCGCCA